UACCUAAUAGAGAGUCUAGUGUGAGGUGGAGCUUCAAGACUCAGGAGGAGCCUAAUGCGAGGUGGAGCUCCAGGUGGAGGUAGAUUAGGCACUAGAUGGGAGACUCAAGAGAAUGAAAGGCAACGUCGUAGGGUGAGAUUCUUAUUACCGUAGGAUGAUACCCCGAGUAGGUCUUUGGUCAGAGUGGAUACAAUCCAUGAUGGAAGUGGGAUCGAGCAGCCUGGCUCGACUCCCAUAUUUGCCCAUCUAUGAGACAGCAGGCAUACCCCA
rnacentral:lncRNA from 1 species